rnacentral:lncRNA from 1 species
CCUAAUGUCACGUACAAAAACAUAGGGAAUUUGCAUGGAAAAUCUUCCACUAGGGAAAAGGAAAACACCUUAAUUUGAAACUGAGCUAACAUGUUGAUUUGGGGGCUUUACGAGCAAGGGUAUGAACAAAGCGGGGCAGUUGGAGAAGCGGAAGAAGAGAAAAAGAGGUGAAGCCAUCAGUGUCUACAGCUUCAGCUAUUGCCCGUGUGCAGAUGGUGCUUAAUCUCUCUUGUGCCUUCCAGACCUGCAUUCCAGCCACCUACCAAACCCCUUUCUGUGGAUGCCAAGAAAAGUCUUCAGACCGUGGACAAUGUGCUCUUUGCCCCUAUUAUGGAGAAAGGUGUUCCCUAGACUGCAAUGCCACUAUCAGAGGCUACCUUUGGCAUGAGGUCGCUGCAUCUCCAGGAGUACUCAAAACUCAAA